rnacentral:rRNA from 1 species
UGGGGAAUAUUGGACAAUGGGCGAAAGCCUGAUCCAGCAAUGCCGCGUGAAUGAUGAAGGUUUUUGGAUUGUAAAGUUCUUUUAGUGGGGAAGAUAAUGACGGUACCCACAGAAAAAGCUCCGGCUAACUCCGUGCCAGCAGCCGCGGUAAUACGGAGGGAGCUAGCGUUGUUCGGAAUUAUUGGGCGUAAAGAGCGCGUAGGCGGCUUAGUAAGUUAGGAGUGAAAUCCCGGGGCUUAACCUCGGAAUUGCUUCUAAAACUGCUAAGCUAGAGUAUGCAAGAGGGUGACGGAAUUCCUAGUGUAGGGGUGAAAUCCAUAGAUAUUAGGAGGAACACCGGUGGCGAAGGCGGUCACCUGGGGCAUUACUGACGCUGAGGCGCGAAAGCGUGGGGAGCAAA